rnacentral:rRNA from 1 species
GAGUUUGAUCCUGGCUCAGAUUGAACGCUGGCGGCAUGCCUUACACAUGCAAGUCGAGCGGCAGCACGGGAGCUUGCUCCUGGUGGCGAGUGGCGAACGGGUGAGUAAUGCAUCGGAACGUAUCCUGGAGUGGGGGAUAACGUAGCGAAAGUUACGCUAAUACCGCAUAUUCUGUGAGCAGGAAAGCGGGGGACCUUUCGGGCCUCGCGCGUCUUGGAGCGGCCGAUGUCGGAUUAGCUAGUUGGUGAGGUAAAGGCUCACCAAGGCGACGAUCCGUAGCAGGUCUGAGAGGAUGAUCUGCCACACUGGAACUGAGACACGGUCCAGACUCCUACGGAGGCAGCAGUGGGAAUUUUGGACAAUGGGGGCAACCCUGAUCCAGCCAUGCCGCGUGAGUGAAGAAGGCCU